UACGUAGGGGGCAAGCGUUGUCCGGAUUUAUUGGGCGUAAAGAGCGUGUAGGCGGCCUGAAAGGUCAGCUGUGAAAACUCGAGGCUCAACCUCGAGACGUCGGUUGAAACCAUCUGGCUAGAGUCCGGAAGAGGAGUGUGGAAUUCCCGGUGUAGCGGUGAAAUGCGCAGAUAUCGGGAAGAACACCCGUGGCGAAGGCGGCACUCUGGGACGGUACUGACGCUGAGGCACGAAAGCGUGGGGAGCGAACGGG
rnacentral:rRNA from 1 species